GUAACUUCCGAGCAAUUCAGUGGCAGCAAGCCAAUCCUUGGCUGGGCACACGCCUCUGUGGAUCAAUGUGCUAUACUGCUUAACCUCUGGACCUGCGAAAUUGCUCUCCUGGAAAAAACAAAGUCAGAUUCAGAGUGCAUGUAAGUUCUACAUGAUGCUAAGAAGAAAACAUUGUCUCUUUGUAAAGUUCUGAAACUCAAAAGAAGAAUGAUUGUUGCAUGAUGCCGUAAGCUGUGUCACUGUAUGUCCCCGUAUGCCCUGAGAAAUUGCACUACUACAGCCUAAGAAGCAUCUUAGAUGACAUCCCUGUUAUCAGAAACAAGUACCUCAUAAUUGGACUAUCUCAAGGAAAAAAAAAAAAAAAAGAGGAGCAAGGACUGAAGAAAAACCCUGCAGCUAUGCCAGGUUUGCAUUAUGUUUGCAAAAGUGUUCCUGCAGGCCAAAGUCCUCAGUCAGUGCGUAUUGCUAAGGAGGAUCCAUCUUGUGACAAAGAAGACAUUUCAGACCAUUUACUCUGCUGGGAUAAUCAAGACAGAGAUCUGCAAAUCCUAAUGCUGUGCACCCUGAUCAGAUACUGGAGAGUGACAAAAUGUUUGGACUCCUCUUCAAACAUGGCUACAGAGAAGUCACCCUUAGUGUCCUGCAGUGAGGUGGAGAAGAACAGCAUCUGUGACAGGCAGCUCACAGUCCUAGACCACCAGAAUCAGUGAAGAUGACACACAUCUGGACAGCGUAUGCACUUCUGCCCUGGGAGUAAACCCUGUUCACCCUUCUUGCUCUCACUCUGCUGGUAUCAUUUACUGGUUGUGAUGUAAAGCAGAGGAAAUGGGGACUGUAAAUACCCAUCUCACUCUGAAAAGGAUCUGGUUUCCUCAGGUACAGUUCGUGCUUAUCAAUCUUGCGCAAAAGUUAGUAGGUCACAGCUGGUUAAACAAACCCUGCCCAAUUAUAAUUUCCAUGUUUACAACAGAGAGUACUUAACCUUUUAUUACUCCUUUCCACCCAAAUCAAAGGUCUAAUUUUUUGCAUUCAAUUUUACUUUGUUCUUUUUUCAGAGUAAAAGAAAAAGGAAAACAUUAAAACCCUGUAAAACUCACUUCAAAAGGACUUGAACCUAAUCUCCAAGAUUAACUGAUGUCUCUUAUUUCAGAAUGUACUAACUGCAUAUUAUACUUCAUGUAUAUGAAGACAAGAAAUGGCAUAUUGUAUAUAAAAACAGAAAAACGCAUUA